AUCAACGUGUUGCAGUGCUCCCCUGUCUUUGCUAAGCUUGUUGAAGGUCAUCCUCCUCCGGUGAACUUCGAGGUCAAUGGCCGGCACUACAACAAGGCAUACUAUCUAGUUGAUGGCAUCUAUCCGAGAUGGUCUACAUUUGUGAAGACUAUCUCAAACCCUGUGCCAGGAGGCAAGAACUCUCACUUUGCGAAGGUUCAGGAGGCUUGCAGGAAGGAUGUCGAGCGGGCAUUUGGUAUGCUCCAAUCUCGAUUUACUGUUGUCUGGUACCCCGUUCAGACCUGGUCGAAAGAUCAAAUGUGGGGAUCAUGA
rnacentral:rRNA from 1 species